UAGAGUUUGAUCCUGGCUCAGAACGAACGCUGGCGGCAUGCCUAACACAUGCAAGUCGAACGAAGGCUUCGGCCUUAGUGGCGCACGGGUGCGUAACGCGUGGGAAUCUGCCCUUUGCUACGGAAUAACUCGGGGAAACUCGUGCUAAUACCGUAUGAUGUCGCAAGACCAAAGAUUUAUCGGCAGGGGAUGAGCCCGCGUAGGAUUAGCUAGUUGGUGGGGUAAAGGCUCACCAAGGCGACGAUCCUUAGCUGGUCUGAGAGGAUGAUCAGCCACACUGGGACUGAGACACGGCCCAGACUCCUACGGGAGGCAGCAGUGGGGAAUAUUGGACAAUGGGCGCAAGCCUGAUCCAGCAAUGCCGCGUGAGUGAUGAAGGCCUUAGGGUUGUAAAGCUCUUUUACCCGGGAAGAUAA
rnacentral:rRNA from 2 species